UAAGUACAUGCAGUCGAACGAGUUCUGAUUAUUGAAAGGUGCUUGCAUCUUGAUUUAAUUUUGAACGAGUGGCGGACGGGUGAGUAACACGUGGGUAACCUGCCCUUAAGUGGGGGAUAACAUUUGGAAACAGAUGCUAAUACCGCAUAAAUCCAAGAACCGCAUGGUUCUUGGCUGAAAGAUGGCGUAAGCUAUCGCUUUUGGAUGGACCCGCGGCGUAUUAGCUAGUUGGUGAGGUAACGGCUCACCAAGGCAAUGAUACGUAGCCGAACUGAGAGGUUGAUCGGCCACAUUGGGACUGAGACACGGCCCAAACUCCUACGGGAGGCAGCAGUAGGGAAUCUUCCACAAUGGACGCAAGUCUGAUGGAGCAACGCCGCGUGAGUGAAGAAGGCUUUCGGGUCGUAAAACUCUGUUGUUGGAGAAGAAUGGUCGGCAGAGUAACUGUUGUCGGCGUGACGGUAUCCAACCAGAAAGCCACGGCUAACUACGUGCCAGCAGCCGCGGUAAUACGUAGGUGGCAAGCGUUAUCCGGAUUUAUUGGGCGUAAAGCGAGCGCAGGCGGUUUUUUAAGUCUGAUGUGAAAGCCCUCGGCUUAACCGAGGAAGUGCAUCGGAAACUGGGAAACUUGAGUGCAGAAGAGGACAGUGGAACUCCAUGUGUAGCGGUGAAAUGCGUAGAUAUAUGGAAGAACACCAGUGGCGAAGGCGGCUGUCUGGUCUGUAACUGACGCUGAGGCUCGAAAGCAUGGGUAGCGAACAGGAUUAGAUACCCUGGUAGUCCAUGCCGUAAACGAUGAAUGCUAGGUGUUGGAGGGUUUCCGCCCUUCAGUGCCGCAGCUAACGCAUUAAGCAUUCCGCCUGGGGAGUACGACCGCAAGGUUGAAACUCAAAGGAAUUGACGGGGGCCCGCACAAGCGGUGGAGCAUGUGGUUUAAUUCGAAGCAACGCGAAGAACCUUACCAGGUCUUGACAUCUUUUGAUCACCUGAGAAAUCAGG
rnacentral:rRNA from 1 species